rnacentral:lncRNA from 1 species
CUGUCCAUGAAGAGCUUUAUUGCACCAGCUGUCAGUUCUGUCUUGGAGUGUGAUUUUUCAUUACUGUUUCUUUGUCUGCUGCACUUUGAGAAUCUUCCUGUAGUUGACUUCCAUCAAAGCCAAUUCUUGGUUUUGAUUCACAUAGUCUGCCAAUGCAUGUAUGUCUCUUCUUCCACUGUCUGCUUCACUUGCAGAAAUCUUCUGCCAUCUGUUGUACUGGGCAAGUACAACCUGUUGACAUCACUGUGAGGGUGCAGUGCAUGGUGAUUUGUCAUCAGCUUUCUGGUUUUUCUGUCCAAAUUGUUCAACUCUGCCUGUGUCCAGUUCACAAUGCCAGCAGUAUAUCUGAUGACAGGUAUGGCCCAGGUAUUUAUGGCCUUGAUGAUGUUGCCACCAUUCAGUUUACUUUUUAAGAUUUUUCUGGUCCUCUGGAUGUAUUAUUUACUGACACAGUUUUCACAUGUGCAUGUUUAAUGUUGUCCAGUUGCAAGAUGCCAAGGUAUUUAUAGGCUUCAGGCUGGUGGCAUUUGAUAGCUUGUUCAUUAGGCAUUUCAAUGCCUUUGCUUUCAGUGAUCUUUCCCUUCUUCAGUGCCACU